rnacentral:rRNA from 1 species
UACAUACUGUGCGAACGUUAUUCGGAUUCACUGGGCUUAAAGGGUGCGUAGGCGGCUUUUUAAGUAGGGUGUGAAAGCCCCAAGCUCAACUGGGGAACUGCACUCUAUACUGGCGGGCUAGAGUGAGAUAGGGGUGUGUGGAACUGCCAGUGGAGCGGUGAAAUGUGUUGAUAUUGGCAGGAACGCCGGUGGCGAAAGCGACACACUGGGUCUCAACUGACGCUGAGGCACGAAAGCCAGGGGAGCGAACGGG